GACUAGACAAAUUUUUAUCCCAUGUUUGUUUUGACUUGCUACUAAUUUUAAGUGGGACUGUUAAUACUGGCCCCACCAAAAACACCUCCUUAGGUGUUCUUAGUGAGACCCGAGUGGAGAGGGGGGACAAGCUAGUCCCAACCCAAGCGCUUGCAACAACCAAGCCCUUGCCGCAACGAUCGACCUCCCAAGCGCCUUCCACAACCACCGACCACCCAAGCACCUGCAACUGAUUCAAACCCCCACCGUCACAGCCACACGCAGUGACCCCCAAUACAACAUCACAGUCAGUUCCAGUCAAUUUCGGCGAGCACCGAUUAGAGAUAAUGACUUCGCAGCUUGAACUAUGGGCUGUGGACACAGCAACUGUGCAAUGAUGGUGACUGUGAGACGAUGAUGACUGUGCAAGCAGAGGUAGAAGUAGAAGACAGAGUAUAUUGAGAAGCAGCAAAGAGAAAAUUUUUGGGAAAAAAAAAAAGGAACAGAGAAAAAUUUUGGAAAAAAAAAAGCAAAGAGAAAAAAUUUUGAAAAAAAAAAACAAAGAGAAACAUAUAUUGAGAAGAAGAGGCCAAGGAGAAGAAGAAGAGAAGAAGAAGAGGAUGGAGAAGAAGAAGCAAUUCGCAGGAGGAAGAAGAAAAGAAAAUGCAGAGAGAGAAGAAAAGUCAAAAAAAUAAUAUUAAAUUCACUUUAAUAUGUUUUUAUAAAAAAUAAAAAAAAAAUCUAGUCCUAGUCCAAACAUACACCAAACAAAGGACAAUUGUUAUCCAGUUUAGGCCAGGCCAAGCCAAUCCAAGACAGUCUCUAAUUAUAGUCCAUACCAAGACAUUCCUUCGUACCAAACUAGCCCUGAGGGUUCGAAUCUGAGACUAAUCUGCAAAUCAAUGUCAUUUUCCACUCGGCUAGGUUUCAAAAGAAUUGCUUUUGUGAUAGGACCCGCCCCGAAUCCCUCAGAACCCGAGACGAAUCCUGUGGAAUUCCCGACAUCACCCCGAUGUCGGGCCCACUUCUAAAACUAUAUCCUUUUUUCCCAAAAAGAAUAAGGGCACGAGACUUUCUACUGAAAUUUCGGCAGAGUCUCCCCUGUAAAUUGAACAUUUCCCAAAUUUCAACCUGCACAAAAUUCACAAUUUAAUAUCCCAACAGGCAGCACACACAAUAUAACUUCAUGCAAUUCACAUAAAUGGCCUUCGGCCUUUCGAUAAUUCGAAGCAAACCACCAAGCACGCUAUCAAGUCAAUUAAUACCUUAAACAAGGCAAACAAUAAAUUCAAUCCCACUUAAGAAUUUCAAAG
rnacentral:lncRNA from 1 species